CACAGGAUAAGAUUCCUAGACGGUCGGUCUAAAGCACUGCGUUCAGGUCGCAGUCUACUGCUGUGGGCGUGGGUUCGAAUCCCACUUCUGACAAUA